rnacentral:rRNA from 1 species
UGCGUAGGCGGAAUAAUGAGUCAGUGGUGAAAUCCUGUGGCUCAACCACAGAACUGCCAUUGAUACUGUUAUUCUUGAAUAUAGUUGAGGUAGGCGGAAUGUGUAAUGUAGCGGUGAAAUGCUUAGAUAUUACACAGAACACCGAUUGCGAAGGCAGCUUGCUAAACUAUUAUUGGCGCUGAGGCACGAAAGCGUGGGGAGCGAACAGGAUUAGAUACCCUGGUAGUCC